CUUGGUCAUUUAGAGGAAGUAAAAGUCGUAACAAGGUCUCCGUAGGUGAACCUGCGGAGGGAUCAUUACACAAAUAUGAAAGCAGACCCUCAUUGGGGCGUAACGUCGCGCCGUGUCCGCAACGGCAUAUUGCUGUUGUGCUGACGCGGCGGGGAGGUACGCCCUUUUGGGCCAGUCUGACUCCAUAUUCACCCAUGUCUUUUGCGUACUACUUGUUUCCUUGGCGGGUUCGCCCGCCAAUUGGACCCAAUUAAACCUUUUUUGUAAUUGCAAUCAGCGUCAGCAAAACAAUGUAAUAAAUUACAACUUUCAACAACGGAUCUCUUGGUUCUGGCAUCGAUGAAGAACGCAGCGAAAUGCGAUAAGUAGUGUGAAUUGCAGAAUUCAGUGAAUCAUCGAAUCUUUGAACGCACAUUGCGCCCUUUGGUAUUCCAAAGGGCAUGCCUGUUCGAGCGUCAUUUGUACCCUCAAGCUUUGCUUGGUGUUGGGCGUUUUUGUCUCGGGUCCGCCCCGAGACUCGCCUUAAAAUCAUUGGCAGCCGGCCUACUGGUUUCGGAGCGCAGCACAUUUUUGCGCUCUGUCCAGUUGUGGUUUGCGUCCAUGAAGCGAAUAUUUUCAACGUUUGACCUCGGAUCAGGUAGGGAUACCCGCUGAACUUAAGCAUAUCAAUAAGCGGAGGA
rnacentral:rRNA from 1 species